GCCCCUGACAGGUGGGCCCCACCUGUCAGCGGGUGCGGGCGAGCGGCUGGGCCGGCGGGGCUGCGGCGCGCGCGAGGGAUUGGGCCAGUUCGGCCCAAAGUCGCCGGGCCGAUCCGUUUGCUCCUUUUUUUUUCUUUUACCCUUUUCUUAUUUCUUUGAUAUCUUUUGAUUUUGAACUCCAAAUUGGUCCAAACAAAUUCCAGAAAAUUUGUAAAAUCAUGUUCUAUCAUGAUACAACUUUUGGGAGUAGUUUCCCCUCAAAAUAAAAUAUAUAAAAAUACUUUUUCCCUAUAAAUGCCUUUCGGGCCAUAUAUCUAAAUAAAAUAUUUUUUCAACUCCAAAUAAUUAUGCCAAAAAUUUUGGGAUAGCUUAUAUAUGCAUUAAACCCCUUUUAUGCAUAACCCUUUUGGUUUGAAAAAAAUUCCAAAGCCA
rnacentral:lncRNA from 1 species